rnacentral:lncRNA from 1 species
UUCGAUCUUGUUUCAUCGAAUUACCCAGCAAACAACAACCCAUCAAACUCCUUUGUUCCUAAAGCCAUCCAACUUCAAACACCAAGACUUGAAUUCGAUUCAAUUCCGACACUACCUAAUUUCGAUCGGGAAAGAUUACGACUCGUCUUUACCUCCGAAAUGAGCUCGUAUCAGUUGGUAUCAGAGCUAGCUAAAUUAGGUACGUAAAUCGUAGCUUCGAA